AACACCCACUGGAGGUCCGAACCCACUAGUGUUGAAAAACUAGGGGAUGAGCUGUGGGUAGGGGUGAAAGGCUAAACAAAUCUGGAGAUAGCUGGUUCUCCCCGAAAACUAUUUAGGUAGUGCCUCAUAUGGACACUUCCGGGGGUAGAGCACUGUAAUGGUUGAGGGGGUCGUUUAGAUCUACCUCGCCAUAGCAAACUCCGAAUACCGGAAAGUGAUGUAUGGGAGACAGACGGUGGGUGCUAACGUCCAUCGUCAAGAGGGAAACAACCCAGACCGCCAGCUAAGGUCCCCAAUGAUUGGCUAAGUGGAAAACGAGGUGGGAAGGCAUAGACAGUCAGGAGGUUGGCUUAGAAGCAGCCAUCCUUUAAAGAAAGCGUAAUAGCUCACUGAUCGAGUCGUCCUGCGCGGAAGAUGUAACGGGGC
rnacentral:rRNA from 1 species